rnacentral:lncRNA from 1 species
CCAGCAUUCUUCCAUUUGAGACGCAUUACCUCCAGCCCAAGCUCAAGAUUUCAUUUGUGUGUUUCUAUUGUUGUUGUUGUAGUUGCUGGGGCUUUUUUGUUUGGUUUGUAUCUGUUGUGAAAAGAGUUCCAUGGUAUUUAUUGAACUUGCCACUUAGCUGAGGAUGACCUUGGACGCACGAGGUCUUCUUAUGUCUACCUCCUAAGUGCUGUGAUGACAAAUGUGUCACUACCAAACCCAGCCCUGUUGACUAUUUAAAAGUAUAGAAUUCAGGGACUGGGAAAGCGGCUCAGUGGGUAAGGGCCUGAGUUCUGUCUCCAGCACCUGUGUAGAUGGUGAACAGGCAGGGUGGCCUACCUGGAAUCCCAUGUGCUCCGGAGGUGGCAACAGGGGACCCCAGAGUAAGCUGGCUCCUGGCAGAGAACCAAUGAAGAAGACAUCCAAUAUUGACUUCUUGCACACAUCAAAAGCAACUUAAGGGAGAAAGGGUUUAUCCCAGUUCACAGUUCAAGGCCCAGCGUCUCCACUGAACCAUGUGAACCUGUGUCACCAUCCAAGAGUCUACUGGUUGAUGAAAGUGAUGAGUCAGGUCGGUCCCUUGACGGCUGCUGGGGAGGGUGUGGCAGAUCCCAGGGAAGACACAGUCUGUUGUGAAGAUUUUACUGAAACUGUGGUGCACUGUGUCUAAAUGAACCCUUAGAACUUUCGUUUUACAGAAAGACAGUCAAGUUGAUUUUCUCACCAGCAGGCCCUUUGUCAGUUCUGUGGCUUCACAAUUAAAAUCUGACAGAAGAGAAUUCAUUCUCUCACAGUGUGCCUUGGAUUCAUACUAAAGUCAGCAUUUGUCAUGAGCAUAUUGCUUGUGAAAAGGACAGUUUCCAAUCUUUUGUCCGUUUCUCUGUGACUGUGUCUACCUUUCAAACAAAAUUCAAUUGAAGCCUGGGCGGGGAAGAUGGCCCAACUGAGUAUCUGCUAUGCAAGUAUGAGGAUCUGAGUCCAUAGUCCCAGCAGCCAUGUUAAAAAGCCAGGAGAAGCAGCUCACGUGGAAGGGACAGGGAGAAGGAUCCCUGGAGCUCACUGCCCAGUCUAGCCAAAUCGACAAGCUCUAGGUUCAGUGAGAGACCCGACCUCAAAACAUAAGGUGGAGAGUGAUAGAGGAAGACCCCUGGACUUGAUCUCUGGCCUCCACACGCCCACAGCACACAGCACGCCCCUGUGUGCUCGUAUGCACACUGUCUCGUGAGACAAAUUGAAGCUGGAUAGAAGCUGGUAUUUCCUGUCAUUUCUGAGCAACAUACCAAUAAAAAUGUGUUUGUCCUCCACAAAUGAGAGAAUGGCUUUUUCCUCAGUUGGCAUCUCACUGUGCAUAAAGAAUGGUCCCAGGCUAGGGUCAGGAUCAGAGCCUCCGCUGAACCGUGUGAACCUGUGUCACUGCCCAAGAGUCUGCUGGAUGAUGAAGGUGAUGAGGCAGGUCAGUCCCUUGAAGGCUGCCGGGGAGGGUGUGGCAGAUCCCAGGGAGACACAGAAUGUUCGUUUGCUGUGUUCCCUAUUGAACUCAAAGACUGGGGGACCAGGGAAAGCAGGUCCAGAAUCUCAGAGAAGUCUGGAGGAGGCAAACAAGCCAUGCCUGGCAGGGUAUCGGGUGAGCGUGCCUCUUUGCUGCUCAGAAUGCGUGAGAUCCGACUUGCAGGAUUUCAUAAAUCACAACUGUUUUAGCUUCGAGAGGAGGGAUUGAUUAAGGUCUGAGCCAUCAGGCGUCGAAUGGAUCAGGCUGUCUCUCACCACCUCCCCUUCCCAGACGAGCAAGUCAGCAGUUUUCCGGGAAAGCAGUCUCUACACAUUUAGCAUCAUCACAACGAUUACUGUAAGG